ACACUAAGCAGCUAGCCCACCCAAUCAAGACCAACAAACAGCUAUUAAUACCCCCAAAACCACUAUCUACUGAUUUAAACAAACCAUUUCUCCCCCCUAGUAUGGGCGACAGAAAAGGAUCUGAGGAGCGAUAGAGAAAGUACCGCAAGGGAACGCUGAAAGAGAAAUGAAAAAACCCAGUAAAGUCUAAAAAAGCAGAGAUUUUUGCUCGUACCUUUUGCAUCAUGAUUUAGCCAGUAAACCCAAGCAAAGAGGACUUUAGUUUGGCCCCCCGAAACUAAGUGAGCUACUCCAAGACAGCCUAAUAUAGGGCAAACCCGUCUCUGUGGCAAAAGAGUGGGAAGAGCUUUGAGUAGCGGUGACAGACCUAUCGAACUUAGUUAUAGCUGGUUGCCUGAGAAAUGGAUAGAAGUUCAGCCUCCCGGCUUCUUUAUUCACAUUGUACUAAUCUAUACAGACACUAUAAGAAACCAUGAGAGUUAGUCAAAGGAGGUACAGCUCCUUUGAAUUAAGAUACAACUUUUUCAGGAGGGUAAAGAUCAUAUUAGAACCCAAAGGUUUAAUGUUUUAGUGGGCCUAAAAGCAGCCAUCCAAACAGAAAGCGUUAAAGCUCAGACAUACUACUCACCCUAUUAUCACGAUAGCCCAGUCUUAGCCCCCUACCCCUACCAGGCCGUUCCAUACAGAUAUGGAAGCGAACAUGCUAAUAUGAGUAAUAAGAGAGAAUAGGAUGACUCUCUCCCUGCACACGUGUAUAUCGAAUCGGACACCCCACCGAACCUUAACGGUCCCAAUUAAAGAGGGAACUGAACCAAAAAUCGACAUAACUAGAAAACCAUCCAACACCUAACCGUUAACCCCACACAGGUGUGCUUGUAGGGAAAGACUAAAAGAAAAAGAAGGAACUCGGCAAACAUAUAAAGCCUCGCCUGUUUACCAAAAACAUCGCCUCUUGCAAAACUGAUGAAUAAGAGGUCCCGCCUGCCCUGUGACUCUAAGUUUAACGGCCGCGGUAUUUUGACCGUGCGAAGGUAGCGUAAUCACUUGUCUCUUAAAUGGGGACCUGUAUGAAUGGCAUAACGAGGGCUUAACUGUCUCCUUUUUCAGGUCAAUGAAAUUGAUCUCCCCGUGCAGAAGCGGGGAUAAACACAUAAGACGAGAAGACCCUAUGGAGCUUUAGACACUAAGGCAGAUCAUGUUAAACACCCCAUAAUAAAGGAAAUAAACCAAAUGAUCCCUCUGCCCUAAUGUCUUCGGUUGGGGCGACCACGGAGAAGCACAAAACCCCCGUGCAGAACGAAAGCACUGCUUUCACAACUAAGAGCUCCCGCUCUAAUAAACAGAAAUUCUGACUAUAUGAUCCGGCAACGCCGAUCAACGAACCAAGUUACCCUAGGGAUAACAGCGCAAUCCUCUUUUAGAGUCCAUAUCGACAAGAGGGUUUACGACCUCGAUGUUGGAUCAGGACAUCCUAAUGGUGCAGCCGCUAUUAAGGGUUCGUUUGUUCAACGAUUAAUAGUCCUACGUGAUCUGAGUUCAGACCGGAGUAAUCCAGGUCAGUUUCUAUCUAUGACGUGAUCUUUUCUAGUACGAAAGGACCGAAAAGAAGAGGCCUAUGCCCACAGUACGCCUCCCCCUUACCUGAUGAAAACAACUAAAACAGGCAAAAGGACACAUCUUUACCCGCCAAAGAUAAUGGCAU
rnacentral:rRNA from 1 species